AUUGAACGCUAGCGGGAUGCUUUACACAUGCAAGUCGAACGGCAGCGCGGACUUCGGUCUGGCGGCGAGUGGCGAACGGGUGAGUAAUGUAUCGGAACGUGCCCAGUAGCGGGGGAUAACUACGCGAAAGCGUAGCUAAUACCGCAUACGCCCUACGGGGGAAAGCAGGGGAUCGUAAGACCUUGCACUAUUGGAGCGGCCGAUAUCGGAUUAGCUAGUUGGUGAGGUAACGGCUCACCAAGGCGACGAUCCGUAGCUGGUUUGAGAGGACGACCAGCCACACUGGGACUGAGACACGGCCCAGACUCCUACGGGAGGCAGCAGUGGGGAAUUUUGGACAAUGGGGGCAACCCUGAUCCAGCCAUCCCGCGUGUGCGAUGAAGGCCUUCGGGUUGUAAAGCACUUUUGGCAGGAAAGAAACGUCGCGGGCUAAUACCCCGUGGAACUGACGGUACCUGCAGAAUAAGCACCGGCCAACUACGUG
rnacentral:rRNA from 1 species